rnacentral:lncRNA from 1 species
AACCAAAAAAAUAGAUAAAUGAUAAAUUAUUAAAUAAAUUAUUUAAAAAUAAAAGUAUUCAUUAAAUCAAUAAAUGUAAAUACUCCAGCUUAGGUGACAGAGGAAGACUCCAUCUCUUAAAAAACAAAAAAACAAAAAAAAAAAACUAAUAAAAUAAAAACAUGAAAUCCAAACCAAAAAGAGAUGAGAGGGGAGGUAGGCAGAGAGAGACAGAGGGAGAGAGAGACCAGGAGAGAGCCAGGGAGAGAGGAAGGGAGAGAGGCUUGGACUGAGUGUCUGAGUC